GUAGGUUAUGGAGAUAUGUCACCUGAAACAGUAGGUGGGAAACUGGUUGGGUCUCUUUGUGCCAUUGCCGGUGUGCUGACCAUCUCCUUGCCAGUGCCAGUCAUUGUAUCCAAU
rfam:Xenopus laevis Kv1.10 potassium channel mRNA, complete cds.